UGAAUCCACAGAUCUAGACAUGAGAACUUUUUUCAGAAAUUAUAGUCUUGGUGCAAUAGAAAUUCAAUAUCUGACAUUGUUGGUUUUCUUGGCUUUGUGCUUGUCAAAACCUGGUAUUUCUAAUGAUGUGGUC
ensembl:snoRNA